AGUGAACGCUGGCGGUAGGCCUAACACAUGCAAGUCGAACGGCAGCACAGUAAGAGCUUGCUCUUACGGGUGGCGAGUGGCGGACGGGUGAGGAAUACAUCGGAAUCUACUUUUUCGUGGGGGAUAACGUAGGGAAACUUACGCCAAUACCGCAUACGACCUACGGGUGAAAGCAGGGGAUCUUCGGACCUUGCGCGAUUGAAUGACCCGAUGUCGGAUUAGCUAGUUGGCGGGGUAAAGGCCCACCAAGGCGACGAUCCGUAGCUGGUCUGAGAGGAUGAUCAGCCACACUGGAACUGAGACACGGUCCAGACUCCUACGGGAGGCAGCAGUGGGGAAUAUUGGACAAUGGGCGCAAGCCUGAUCCAGCCAUACCGCGUGGGUGAAGAAGGCCUUCGGGUUGUAAAGCCCUUUUGUUGGGAAAGAAAAGCAGCAGGUUAAUACCCCGCUGUUCUGACGGUACCCAAAGAAUAAGCACCGGCUAACUUCGUG
rnacentral:rRNA from 1 species